rnacentral:rRNA from 1 species
AAAACAUCUUUUCCUGUAGAUUUUAUGAAAUUUGUCCUGCCCAAUGAUUAUUUUAAUGGCCGCGGUAUUUUGACCGUGCAAAGGUAGCAUAAUCACUAGUUUAUUAAUUGUAAGCUUGAAUGAAUGGUUUGACGAAAUAUUGACUGUCUCAUUGUUAUUUUUAGAAUUUGAAUUUUGAGUUAAAAUGCUUAAAUUUUUUUGUUGGACGAGAAGACCCUAUAGAUCUUUAAUAGUUAAUUUUAUCUAUAUUUUGGUUUGUUUAAGUUAUAUGAGGUUUAUUAUUUUUGUUGGGGUGACAUAAGGAUAUAAUUAACUCUUAUUAUUAAUUUACAUUAUUAUAUGAUUAUAUGACCUAUUAAUAUUGUUUAUAAGAUAUAGAUACCUUAGGGAUAACAGCGUAAUCUUCUUUGAGAGUUCAUAUUGACAAGAAGGUUUGCGACCUCGAUGUUGGAUUAAGAUUAUACUUGGGUGUAGAAGUUCAAGUGGUAGGUCUGUUCGACCUUUGAAAUCUUACAUGAUCUGA